rnacentral:snRNA from 1 species
AUUGCUUCUCAGCCUUUUGGCUAAGAUCAAGUGUAGAAAGCUAAUAGGAUCUAUUUAAUUUACAUCUGUGUAUGCAAACAUAUAUAAACUAUAUUUGAAUACAUACACAUAUAUGCAUAUCUAUGUAUACAAUAU